CAGCCGCCGCGGGAAUACGAAGGGGGCUAGCGUUGCUCGGAAUUACUGGGCGUAAAGGGAGCGUAGGCGGACAUUUAAGUCAGGGGUGAAAUCCCAGAGCUCAACUCUGGAACUGCCUUUGAUACUGGGUGUCUUGAGUGUGGUAGAGGUAUGUGGAACUCCGAGUGUAGAGGUGAAAUUCGUAGAUAUUCGGAAGAACACCAGUGGCGAAGGCGACAUACUGGAUCAUUACUGACGCUGAGGCUCGAAAGCGUGGGGAGCAAACAGGAUUAGAUACCCCUGUAGUCCCUGUCUCUUAUAA
rnacentral:rRNA from 1 species